rnacentral:lncRNA from 1 species
UGUAUUCCAUUCCAUUCCCAAAAUGUCAAUCUAAAACUCCUGAUAUAAUUUUCAGAGAUAUUACCAACCUGUAAUUCCCCAACUCCUGACUAUCCAAUCAAAAUGUUGCUUCUCAAUCAUAAGCACAAUAGUUUACAAAGAUAUUUUGUGUAAAGUAAAAAAUAAAUCUAAAUACUAUAUGCCACCAGUUUCUGUAGUUUGACUUUAUAUUCUUUUCAAAAUAAUUUCAGUAGGCAUAUCUAUUCAUUCAAAAGUAUAUGUUAAGAUGCAUAAUAAUUUAUAUACUCUUCACUUGCUGCAGGACAAAGAUACUCUAUGUAUGUCAUACUAUAAAAGAGGUAAUUUAGCAUAUAUAUAAGAAAAUCACAGAUUUUGUAAUAUAUUAGAGAAUAAUUACUUUUGACAGCCAUUACAUUUACUCAAAAUAGUGAAUAAUUUCCAUAGUAUAUGAGUCAGGAGAAAUCCAGCAGUUGAAAUUUGCAGAAUUCUCAAUCUAAUUACAUUUAAAUAUAAAUGGUAAAUUAAUGCUUAUUCAAAGAACAACAUGAAAGAAUAUGCUAACAAUGACUAGGUGAUACAUUUAUUAACUCUCCCUCACUAGUGUGGGCACUGUGCCCACGUAGGGUAUGUUCUGGAAAUACAGCGUGAUCCUGUAGCUUCAGAUUC